CAAAACUCCCACACCCUUUGCAAACAUACCUACUUAUGCCUCGGCGUAAGCUCGGUUGGGAGGCGUGUCGUCGAGAUGAAGUUUGGUUACCCUAUGGCUACCCUGUAGCGCGACCUAUCCUUCAUCUCUGCGGCACGCCGCGCUCCCGCCGCGGCCCGCCGAUGGUACACUAAACCAUGAUUUUACUGGACUUCUGAGCGUCUUAUUUUAAUAAGUCAAAACUUUCAACAACGGAUCUCUUGGUUCUGGCAUCGAUGAAGAACGCAGCGAAAUGCGAUAAGUAAUGUGAAUUGCAGAAUUCAGUGAAUCAUCGAAUCUUUGAACGCACAUUGCGCCCAUUAGUAUUCUAGUGGGCAUGCCUGUUCGAGCGUCAUUUCAACCCUUAAGCCUAGCUUAGUGUUGGGAGUCCACUGUAUUGUGGUUCCUUAAAGACAGUGGCGGAGCGGUAGCAGCCCUCUCAGCGUAGUAAUUUUCAUUCUCGCUUUUUAGGCUCUAUCCUCCCGCCAUAAAACCCCCUAUUUUUUUAGUGGUUGACCUCGGAUCAGGUAGGAAUACCCGCUGAACUUAAGCAUAUCAAUAAGCGGAGGAAAAGAAACCAACAGGGAUUCCCCUAGUAACGGCGAGUGAAGCGGGAACAGCUCAAAUUUGAAAUCUGGCCCUCGGGUCCGAGUUGUAAUUUGCAGAGGAUGCUUUUGGUGCGGUGCCUUCCGAGUUCCCUGGAACGGGACGCCUUAGAGGGUGAGAGCCCCGUACGGUUGGCCACCAAGCCUGUGUAAAGCUCCUUCGACGAGUCGAGUAGUUUGGGAAUGCUGCUCAAAAUGGGAGGUAUAUUUCUUCUAAAGCUAAAUAUUGGCCAGAGACCGAUAGCGCACAAGUAGAGUGAUCGAAAGAUGAAAAGCACUUUGAAAAGAGGGUUAAAUAGCACGUGAAAUUGUUGAAAGGGAAGGGUUUAUGACCAGACUUUUUCUAGGGGGAUCAUCCGGUGUUCUCACCGGUGCACUUCCCCUAGAGGAGGCCAGCAUCGGUUUCCGUAGGGGGAUAAAAGCUUUGGGAAUGUGGCUCCUCCGGGAGUGUUAUAGCCCGCUGCAUAAUACCCUUAUGGGGACCGAGGUCCGCGCUCU
rnacentral:rRNA from 1 species